rnacentral:misc_RNA from 1 species
GAUGAAGAACGUAGCGAAAUGCGAUAAGUAAUGUGAAUUGCAGAUUUUCAGUGAAUCAUCGAAUCUUUGAACGCACCUUGCGCUCCCUGGUAUUCCGGGGAGCAUGCCUGUUUGAGUGUCAUUAAAUUCUCAACCCCGAUCGGAUUUGUUUUCGCAUUCGGAGGCUUGGAUAGUGGAGCGUGCUGGCCCCCUCUCAUGGGUCGGCUCCUCUCAAAUGCAUUCGCGGAAUCGACUUUGGUCCAUUUCGGUCAUCAGUGUGAUAAACGUUGCGCUGUUGGCUAGGAUCGAGGUGCCGCAUACAAUGGUCUUCGGACAAUUUUAUAAACCAUUUGACCUCAAAUCAGGUAGGACUACCCGCUGAACUUAAGCAUAUCAAAGCGGAGGA